GCCCCUAUGGCUCAGUGGUAAAGCGUCUCACUCGUAUAGGACAGUGAUGAGAAGACCCUCGGUUCGACUCCGAGUGGGGGCA